rnacentral:misc_RNA from 1 species
AGGACUGCAAUGUUUAUGGUGUAUAUUGAAUAAGACCAUGAACAGGGAGCCCUGGUUCUGUGGUUGUGGAUUACUUCUAUUUCACAAACCAAACCCAUUUGUUCACGGGAAGGAUAAUUAGAAUUAUAUGAGACAGAUGGACUAAGACAUUUUUUGUAGUUUUAAGAAUGAUGGUAGUGAUAGGUGUGUAUAAAUAUAGAAAUGUAGGGACUUUAUGUUAUCAGAUUGCAUUUAUGACUAGUCAAGAAAUGGUUUAUGAUUAAAAAUUUAAAAAAGUAUGUAAAUAUAUGUUAUGGUGAGGUGAUGACAGUAAAUUAUUUUUUUUAUAAAUAUUUCAAUAAGUAUAGUUCAAAUUGCAGUCAUCAAAAGAAAAUUUCCAAAGAAAUUGAAAAUGUCCAAUAAUUUCAAUUAAUGUGGAGUUUAAGAUUAAAUUUGUUAGCAUAUUGGCAAUACUAUAUGUAUAUCCAUAUAAUUGAUCCCUCUUCAGUGUUUAGUUUAUCAGGUAGGCCUAUACAUGAACAAUUUGGCAGACCUGUAGGAUGAUCAUGAAUUGAAUGAUGAAAAUAAAUUAAUUUAUUUUUGAUCACAUAUUGUAUAUUUAACUUAUUUUAAUUGAACUGAAAAGAAUACUCUGUUUUAAUCAACAAGUGUUUUGUAUACCAUUAUUUGAAGUUUUAAUAAAACUUUUUAAC